CGGGCCGUAGCGCAGUUGGUAGCGCGCCUGCUUUGGGAGCAGGAAGUCGUGGGUUCGAGUCCCACCGGCCCGACCA
rnacentral:tRNA from 1 species